GGGGGGGGGGGGGGGGAGAGGGAAGAGGAGUGGAGUGGAGGGUCCAGGGCCAUGAAUGGUGAGGACCCUUCCUUGUCAUCAGGGUGUGGCUCCACCACCCUCUUUAAAUGCUCGUGCACACACGCACAUUUUAUAAAAGCUCUGACUCAGCCCAGCUGCUGCCUGAAGACUGGGAAAGCCAGGUCCUGUCAUGGGCCCACCCAACCCUGAUCCCCUACAAGCAAUUUUCAAAUCUUCCACUUUUAAAAUGGAAAACGGUAAAUGUGCCAGGUUGCAUAUUUUAUUUCAAUAAAAAAAAAAUUCUAGCAGAAGCUGCCUUCUUCUAGGGGCAGGGAUUGGGAGGGGGAGUGACAGUAGUGGGGAAUGCUGGAGGCUCAGGAGCCAGGUGGUGGAGAGCAGUGGGGACAUGGUCCCUAGAGCACCUGGGCGCUUGUGUGCACAGGCAUGUGCUCCCAGAGCAGGGAGUGAAGGUGCAAGGGAGUGCGAGUUUGGGCUAGAGAUAAAAGUGUUCACUGGUUAUGGGCUGGUGAGAGUCAUUAAGGAGGAGGAUGAGAGAGGAGGGUGUGUGUGCUAGUGGAGGUGCAAGACUCUGACUUGGGUCCUUCCCACCCCAGCUGUGGGGGCCACAGAGUCCCUGGGACUCGUUGGUCUCCCUGGAGGAUGAGGGUAUUCAGUGUGCACGUGCACGCUAGGUGGAUACUGAAGAGGCAGAUGUAAUCUUAGUCUGAUCAGAUGGGCCCUCAGAAGAUGGAGGGUGGCCAGAGGACAAAAGGUGACCAGGCUCAGGGGAGGGUGUCAUGGCCAGAAGGUUGCUUUUCAGAGUGACCAAGGAGGGGGCACAACCACCAGGUUCCUGCAGGGUUUGGAGGUGUGGCACCCACUCGCCAUCGUGGUGUCUGGGGGGGGGGGCAGCAGGGGAGACACACCUGACCCACAGACCCUCUGUGAAGCCCUCAGCCACCUCUGUCACCUCUGUCCACAGAGGGUCCCCAAGUGCCCUGGGAGCUGAACCUUGCAGGCACAUAGGCGAGAGGCAGUGCCCUGAGACUGGAAAAGCGAAGUCCCUGGGGCUCCCAGCGUGUGCGAGGAGUGCCGUGUUGCCUGCCAGCAGGAAGAGGGGAAAGUCCUCAGAAAAGGGCAGGGAACCCGGUCCUCAUCACUGA
rnacentral:lncRNA from 1 species